rnacentral:sRNA from 22 species
ACCCCCGUUGGUGCGGUAAGGCGAAAGCCCCCGAAUGCUCGUUUUACAGCAUAGGACACCUUACGGGGGUUU